UAGAGGGUGAAAGGCCCGUAAGACCGUUGGCUUGUUGCGCUGGCUUUUCCCUAGAGUCGAGUUGUUUGGGAGUACAGCUCAAAGCGCGAGGUAAACUCCUCGUAAGGCUAAAUAUGACCCCGAGACCGAUAGCGAACAAGUACCGUGAGGGAAAGUUGCAAAGCACUUUGAAGAGAGAGUUAAAGAGUACGUGAAACUGUAUAGUAGUAAACGGAGGGGCUCUCGAAGUUG
rnacentral:rRNA from 1 species